UGCCAGACCCACAUCAGCAAACUGGGGCUGGGGCUGGGCGUGGGGCUGGGGCUGGGGCUGACCCUCCUCAUCCUGCUCAUCCUCUGCAUCGUCCUCUCCAUCUGCUUGGCCCAGGGGAAGAGAAAAACGCCCAGCACCAGCGAGGACCAUAGCUGGCCAGACGGCAAGCGCAACGCUCGUGCCACCGGCAUCUACCAUGUCAACGGCAGAGGCUCGACGCCACGUCAAGGUCCCUACGCGCACAGCUCCUACAGGACCAACACGGAGGUUGCGGACCCUCCUGUGCUGGGGGAAGCAGAAGGUGCGGCGUCCCUGUGAGCUGUGAAGUGGCCCCCAAAACCAGCUUGAGGAGGGGCCAAGACCACCUCGAUGCCCUUCAUCACCCACCACGCAGGACCCUUGG